GCUUAACACAUGCAAGUCGAGGGGCAGCAUUUUAGUUUGCUUGCAAACUGAAGAUGGCGACCGGCGCACGGGUGAGUAACACGUAUCCAACCUGCCGAUAACUCCGGAAUAGCCUUUCGAAAGAAAGAUUAAUACCGGAUAGCAUACGAAUAUCGCAUGAUAUUUUUAUUAAAGAAUUUCGGUUAUCGAUGGGGAUGCGUUCCAUUAGUUUGUUGGCGGGGUAACGGCCCACCAAGACUACGAUGGAUAGGGGUUCUGAGAGGAAGGUCCCCCACAUUGGAACUGAGACACGGUCCAAACUCCUACGGGAGGCAGCAGUGAGGAAUAUUGGUCAAUGGGCGAGAGCCUGAACCAGCCAAGUAGCGUGAAGGAUGAAGGCUCUAUGGGUCGUAAACUUCUUUUAUAUGGGAAUAAAGUUUUCCACGUGUGGAAUUUUGUAUGUACCAUAUGAAUAAGGAUCGGCUAACUCCGUGCCAGCAGCCGCGGUAAUACGGAGGAUCCGAGCGUUAUCCGGAUUUAUUGGGUUUAAAGGGAGCGUAGGUGGAUUGUUAAGUCAGUUGUGAAAGUUUGCGGCUCAACCGUAAAAUUGCAGUUGAAACUGGCAGUCUUGAGUACAGUAGAGGUGGGCGGAAUUCGUGGUGUAGCGGUGAAAUGCUUAGAUAUCACGAAGAACUCCGAUUGCGAAGGCAGCUCACUAGACUGUCACUGACACUGAUGCUCGAAAGUGUGGGUAUCAAACAGGAUUAGAUACCCUGGUAGUCCACACAGUAAACGAUGAAUACUCGCUGUUUGUGAUAUACAGUAAGCGGCCAAGCGAAAGCAUUAAGUAUUCCACCUGGGGAGUACGCCGGCAACGGUGAAACUCAAAGGAAUUGACGGGGGCCCGCACAAGCGGAGGAACAUGUGGUUUAAUUCGAUGAUACGCGAGGAACCUUACCCGGGCUUAAAUUGCAACAGAAUAUAUUGGAAACAGUAUAGCCGUAAGGCUGUUGUGAAGGUGCUGCAUGGUUGUCGUCAGCUCGUGCCGUGAGGUGUCGGCUUAAGUGCCAUAACGAGCGCAACCCUUAUCUUUAGUUACUAACAGGUCAUGCUGAGGACUCUAGAGAGACUGCCGUCGUAAGAUGUGAGGAAGGUGGGGAUGACGUCAAAUCAGCACGGCCCUUACGUCCGGGGCUACACACGUGUUACAAUGGGGGGUACAGAAGGCGGCUACCUGGUGACAGGAUGCUAAUCCCAAAAACCUCUCUCAGUUCGGAUCGAAGUCUGCAACCCGACUUCGUGAAGCUGGAUUCGCUAGUAAUCGCGCAUCAGCCAUGGCGCGGUGAAUACGUUCCCGGGCCUUGUACACACCGCCCGUCAAGCCAUGAAAGCCGGGGGUACCUGAAGUACGUAACCGCAAGGAGCGUCCUAGGGUAAAACUGGUAAUUGGGGCUAA
rnacentral:rRNA from 1 species